rnacentral:rRNA from 1 species
GCAGGCGCGAAACCUUUACACUGCACGACAGUGCGAUAGGGGGAUCCCAAGUGCACAGGCAUAGCGCCUGUGCUUUUCGGUACCCUAAGGCGGUACCAGAAUAAGGGCUGGGCAAGACCGGUGCCAGCCGCCGCGGUAAUACCGGCAGCCCAAGUGAUGGCCGAUCUUAUUGGGCCUAAAGCGUCCGUAGCUGGCCGUACAAGUCCAUCGGGAAAUCCACCUGCUCAACAGGUGGGCGCCCGGUAGAAACUGUGCGGCUUGGGACCGGAAGGCGCGACGGGUACGUCCGGGGUAGGAGUGAAAUCCCGUAAUCCUGGACGGACCGCCGAUGGCGAAAGCACGUCGCGAGAACGGAUCCGACAGUGAGGGACGAAAGCCAGGGACUCGAACCGGAUUAGAUACCCGGGUAGUCCUGGCCGUAAACAAUGUCUGCUAGGUGUGGCUCCCACUACGAGUGGGUGCUGUGCCGUAGGGAAGCCGCUAAGCAGACCGCCUGGGAAGUACGUCCGCAAGGAUGAAACUUAAAGGAAUUGGCGGGGGAGCACUACAACCGGAGGAGCCUGCGGUUUAAUUGGAGUCAACGCCGG